rnacentral:lncRNA from 1 species
AUUCAGCCUGAUUCCAACUAAUUAAUUGCCAUCGAUUGUAAGCUAAAAAUUAUUAAAAACCACUUUGAAGCUAUGAAAAUAUAGUCAUUAGACUAGCAUAUUAUUGUGCUAUAAAAGAAGAGCUGCCACCAUAAAUUAUAACAGAAUGGAAUUUCUGACUAGCUACAUAAGAAGACGGAUGAUUUAUACAUAUCUUACAUGGAUAUAUCAUAUAUCUAAUAAAGUCAGAAAAUAAAAGAUCCUAGAGCGUUCUAGGCAACUCCUCUUAUCCUCGGAACUGACUAGCUACAUAAGAAGCCAUUCAAUUGGCGACUUUGUUUGCCUUUCUGAAUAUAUACUUGGUUUGGAAGGCCACUCCAUUCUCACUAUAGGCCAAAUAUUCCAAAGCAGAUGAUGGCCCUCCACUGAUACAGCUAAAGCUACCCUAAAUCCAGCCGACAAUAGUGGUUGAGUCACCCUAAAAAAUAGCGGAGUCGGCCCGAAGCACCUGUCAGGCAUGGCUCAAGCCAACCCAUGCCACACUAAGCUCUACACUGAGAACUGAGGUGUCAAAAAUCUGAUAGCUUUCCACCACGACCAUCCUAGAUUCAACCCUGUGAGGACGAAGUCAGCACCUCCUCUCUGUCUAUUAUCAAUCACGCGAACAUCAAAAUUG